rnacentral:rRNA from 1 species
CUACGGGUUGCUCCAGUGGGGAAUAUUGGGCAAUGGGCGCAAGCCUGACCCAGCAACGCCGCGUGAGGGAAGAAGGUUUUCGGAUUGUAAACCUCUGCCCUUGGGGACGAAGAAGUGACGGUACCCAAGGAGGAAGCUCCGGCUAACUACGUGCCAGCAGCCGCGGUAAUACGUAGGGAGCAAGCGUUGUCCGGAAUUACUGGGCGUAAAGGGUGCGUAGGCGGCAUAUUAAGCCAGGUGUGAAAUACUCGGGCUCAACCCGAGGGGUGCAUUUGAAACUGAUAAGCUUGAGUGUGAGAGAGGAAAGUGGAAUUCCUAGUGUAGCGGUGGAAUGCGUAGAUAUUAGGAGGAACACCAGUGGCGAAGGCGACUUUCUGGCUCAUAACUGACGCUGAGGCACGAAAGCGUGGGGAGCAAACAGGAUUAGAUACCCUUGUAGUC